rnacentral:rRNA from 1 species
CCUGCCUCACAGCUGGGAUAACAUCGAGAAAUCGAUGCUAAUACCGAAUGUGCUGAACAUCAUAAGAUGUUCAAGUGAAAGACGGUUUCGGCUGUCACUGUGAGAUGGACCCGCGCUGGAUUAGCUAGUUGGUAAGGUAAUGGGCUUUACCAAGGCGACGAUCCAUAGCCGACCUGAGAGGGUGAUCGGCCACAUUGGGACUGAGACACGGCCCAAACUCCUACGGGAGGCAGCAGUAGGGAAUCUUCGGCAAUGGACGAAAGUCUGACCGAGCAACGCCGCGUGAGCGAAGAAGGCCUUCGGGUCGUAAAGCUCUGUUGUUAGAGAAGAACAUGGGUGAGAGUAACUGUUCACCCCUUGACGGUAUCUAACCAGAAAGCCACGGCUAACUACGUG